GGGAAUGUAGCUUAGUGGUAGAGUGCUUGCCUUACAUGCAUGAAGCCCUGGAUUCGAGUCCUCAGUACCA
rnacentral:tRNA from 1 species